GAGGGUAUAGCUCAGUGGUAGAGUGUGUGCUUAGCAUGCACAAGGUCCUGGGUUCAAAUCCUAGUACCUCCA
rnacentral:tRNA from 2 species